rnacentral:rRNA from 1 species
UACGUAGGUGGCAAGCGUUGUCCGGAUUUACUGGGCGUAAAGAGCGCGCAGGCGGUCGUUCAAGUCGCGUGUGAAAGCCCCCGGCUCAACUGGGGAGGGUCACGCGAUACUGAUCGACUCGAAGGCAGGAGAGGGUAGUGGAAUUCCCGGUGUAGUGGUGAAAUGCGUAGAUAUCGGGAGGAACACCGGUGGCGAAGGCGGCUUCCUGGACCGACACUGACGCUGAGGCGCGAAAGCUAGGGGAGCAAACGGG